rnacentral:rRNA from 1 species
UUCGCAAUGCCCGAAAGGGUGACGAUGCGACGCCGCGUGAGCGAAGAAGGCCCUAGGGUUGUAAAGCUCUGUAGAGGGUUAUGAAAUAUAGAUGGGUUAAUACCCCAUUUAUUUGACAAAAGCCCAAAAGGAAGCCACGGCUAACUCUGUGCCAGCAGCCGCGGUAAUACAGAGGUGGCGAGCGUUGUUCGGUAUUAUUGGGCGUAAAGAGCACGUAGGUGGUUUUGUAAGUCAGGUGUGAAAGCCUUCUGUUCAAAGGAAGAACGGCAUCUGAAACUGCAGAUCUUGAGUGUAGGAGGGGAGAGUGGAACUUCUGGUGGAGCGGUGAAAUGCGUAGAUAUCAGAAGGAACGUCGGCGGCGAAAGCGACUCUCUGGCCUAUUACUGACACUGAGGUGCGAAAGUUAGGGGAGCAAACGGGAUUAGAUACCCCGGUAGUCCUAACCGUAAACGAUGGGCACUAAGUAGAGGGGUUUU